AGUUAUUAUAAUUUAUUAUGCACAAAUAGAUUAUAAUAGUAAAACCACGUGGUAAGGACACAGUUAGGUUCGCUGUGAGUGCAUCCUUUAGUAGCAACUAACCAAAGCAAGUAUAGAUGGGAAUAAGCUAUUACCUCGAUAGGCUUAAUGAGGUACUUGACAGUCUGACACUAACUGAACAAUAAGUGUCA
rnacentral:ncRNA from 1 species